rnacentral:lncRNA from 1 species
CCUCCUAUAUUUGUUCCGGAGACGAGAGACGAUGGUGUGCAUGAUGACCUCUUCAAAGCCCAGUGGUCACUAGGUCCUCGUCACUCCUCCAUGUGUGCACCCCACACAGGGAAAUGAAACAGAAAGGAGAUAUGUUUUGGGAGCUGUCCAAGGAGACUUGCUGCGGGGCUGGAUGGGAGAGGACCCUGAAAACCCCCAAAGCAGGAGUAACAGCUAACACUUAUUGACUGGAAUCUGAGCUCACUAAGAGCCUCCAUCCUGGAGUUGCUGGCUCUGUCACCACUGAGAUGAGUCUGCAUGUCCUGCAGUUUUGACUUCAAACCAACAUCUGUGGUCAGCUCUCCACUCCCUGCCAAU